UACGUAGGGUGCGAGCGUUGUCCGGAAUUAUUGGGCGUAAAGAGCUCGUAGGCGGUCUGUCGCGUCGGCUGUGAAAACUCGGGGCUCAACCCCGAGCCUGCAGUCGAUACGGGCAGACUAGAGUGCGGUGGGGGAGACUGGAAUUCCUGGUGUAGCGGUGAAAUGCGCAGAUAUCAGGAGGAACACCGGUGGCGAAGGCGGGUCUCUGGGCCGUAACUGACGCUGAGGAGCGAAAGCAUGGGGAGCGAACAGG
rnacentral:rRNA from 1 species